rnacentral:rRNA from 1 species
CAAUAGCGUAUAUUAAAGUUGUUGCAGUUAAAAGCUCGUAGUCGGAUUUUGGCAUCACGCCGUACUGUCUGCCGAUUGGUAAGUACGGUUUGGCGGGUGCUCUCCUUCCGGAGGCUCGUUCCCUUCUUCAUUGAAGGGUUCGAUGGUUCCGGGUCUUUUUACUUUGAAAAAUUAGAGUGUUCAAAGCAGGCCUAUGCUCUGAAUAGGUUAGCAUGGAAUAAUAGAAUAGGACUUUGGUUCUAUUUUGUUGGUUUCUAGGACCGAAGUAAUGAUUAACAGGGACAGUUGGGGCAUUGCAUAUUCCAUUGUCAGAGGUGAAAUUCUUGGAUUAACGGAAGAUGAACUUCUGCGAAAGCAUCUGCCAAGGAUGUUUUCAUUGAUCAAGAACGAAAGUUAGGGGAUCGAAGACGAUUAGAUACCA